GACGAACGCUGGCGGCGUGCUUAACACAUGCAAGUCGAACGCUGAAGCUCAGCUUUUGUUGGGUGGAUGAGUGGCGAACGGGUGAGUAACACGUGAGUAACCUGCCCCCUUCUUUGGGAUAACGCCCGGAAACGGGUGCUAAUACUGGAUAUUCACUGGUCUUCGCAUGGGGGUUGGUGGAAAGGGUUUUUCUGGUGGGGGAUGGGCUCGCGGCCUAUCAGCUUGUUGGUGGGGUGAUGGCCUACCAAGGCUUUGACGGGUAGCCGGCCUGAGAGGGUGACCGGUAACAUUGGGACUGAGAUACGGCCCAGACUCCUACGGGAGGCAGCAGUGGGGAAUAUUGCACAAUGGGCGCAAGACUGAUGCAGCGACGCCGCGUGAGGGAUGGAGGCCUUCGGGUUGUGAACCUCUUUCGCUCAUGGUCAAGCCGCAACAAUGGUUGUGGUGAGGGUAGUGGGUAAAGAAGCGCCGGCUAACUACGUG
rnacentral:rRNA from 1 species